CGGGGAUAAGAGAUUAGGCUUGGCCCGCUAAGCCUAAGCCUCCGCAGUUAAAUUCUGUGGUAUCUCCGA
rnacentral:tRNA from 1 species